rnacentral:tRNA from 1 species
GCAAGCAUAGCUCAGUGGUAGAGCACUCGACCGAUAAUCGAGUGGCCGAAGGUUCGAAACCUUCUGCUUGCACCA